rnacentral:rRNA from 1 species
UACGUAGGGGGCUAGCGUUGUCCGGAAUCAUUGGGCGUAAAGAGCGUGUAGGCGGUCCGGUAAGUCCGCUGUGAAAGUCGGGGGCUCAACCCUCGAAUGCCGGUGGAUACUGUCGGGCUAGAGUGCGGAAGAGGCGAGUGGAAUUCCUGGUGUAGCGGUGAAAUGCGCAGAUAUCAGGAGGAACACCUAUUGCGAAGGCAGCUCGCUGGGACGUAACUGACGCUGAUGCGCGAAAGCGUGGGGAGCAAACAGG